rnacentral:rRNA from 1 species
ACGCUCGACCUACGGGGGCAGCAGUGAGGAAUAUUGGUCAAUGGGCGCUAGCCUGAACCAGCCAAGUAGCGUGAAGGAUGAAGGCUCUAUGGGUCGUAAACUUCUUUUAUAUAAGAAUAAAGUGCAGUAUGUAUACUGUUUUGUAUGUAUUAUAUGAAUAAGGAUCGGCUAACUCCGUUCCAGCAGCCGCGGUAAUCUGAGCGGGCUGGCAAGGC